CCUACGGGUGGCAGCAGUGGGGAAUAUUGGACAAUGGGCGAAAGCCUGAUCCAGCCAUGCCGCGUGUGUGAAGAAGGCCUUCGGGUUGUAAAGCACUUUCAGUGGGGAAGAAAGCCUUGGGGCUAAUACCCUCGAGGAAGGACAUCACCCACAGAAGAAGCACCGGCUGAACUCCGUGCCAGCAGCCGCGGUAAUACGGAGGGUGCGAGCGUUAAUCGGAAUUACUGGGCGUAAAGCGCGCGUAGGCGGUCUGAUAAGCCGGUUGUGAAAGCCCCGGGCUCAACCUGGGAACGGCAUCCGGAACUGUCAGGCUAGAGUGCAGGAGAGGAAGGUAGAAUUCCCGGUGUAGCGGUGAAAUGCGUAGAGAUCGGGAGGAAUACCAGUGGCGAAGGCGGCCUUCUGGACUAACACUGACGCUGAGGUGCGAAAGCGUGGGUAGCAAACAGGAUUAGAUACCCUAGUAGUC
rnacentral:rRNA from 1 species